UACGAAGGGGGCUAGCGUUGCUCGGAAUUACUGGGCGUAAAGGGCGCGUAGGCGGCACUGUUAGUCAGGCGUGAAAGUCCUGGGCUCAACCUGGGAACUGCGCUUGAUACGGCAGAGCUAGAGGAUGGAAGAGGGUCGCGGAAUUCCCAGUGUAGAGGUGAAAUUCGUAGAUAUUGGGAAGAACACCGGUGGCGAAGGCGGCGACCUGGUCCAUUACUGACGCUGAGGCGCGACAGCGUGGGGAGCAAACGGG
rnacentral:rRNA from 1 species